rnacentral:rRNA from 1 species
GCCAGCGGCCAUACUGCGUCGAAUACACCGGGAUCCCAUCCGAACUCCGAAGUUAAGCGGCGCAAGGCCCGGAUAGUACUGGG